GCACAGAAGCUGCCCACAGGGUCCAGCGAGACAGCACCCUGCAGCCUUCUUACUAGCCCAUGCUCAAUAUUUAACCCUGGAGGAUCUCCAAGAAGUUGUCUAGGCAAUCACGCAGAUUUUUGGCUUGCUGUGACUCCAGACCUUACCUUGCUUUCUGAUCACCAAUCUCCCAUUUCAGUGAUUACUCUGAUCCCUGCUUAUUGACUGCAGCCUUGUGGACACCAGCCCAGCUGUGACUGCUAGGCCAGAUCAUGUAGGCCCUGGUCCCUUAUGAAUAGCCUGAAUUGUGCCUGACAGAGCUAAAGAACUGGCCCAAAGUUUGUUGGGAAAUGAUUACGAAGGGUAUCUUACAGAUGAAUUGAAUUGUUGAACUGGGACUUCAAGUCUCUGCAGGUCUCCUGUUCUCACUGAUCCUACUCCUAUUGAACUGUACAGCAAAACUCCCACUAAUGUUAAG